UACGGAGGAUCCAAGCGUUAUCCGGAUUUAUUGGGUUUAAAGGGUGCGUAGGCGGCCUGUUAAGUCAGGGGUGAAAGACGGUAGCUCAACUAUCGCAGUGCCCUUGAUACUGACGGGCUUGAAUGAACUAGAGGUAGGCGGAAUGUGACAAGUAGCGGUGAAAUGCAUAGAUAUGUCACAGAACACCGAUUGCGAAGGCAGCUUACUAUGGUUUUAUUGACGCUGAGGCACGAAAGCGUGGGGAUCAAACAGG
rnacentral:rRNA from 1 species